CACCAUUGAUUUUUCCAUCAUAGGAGCAGCAGAAAAGAGUUCUAAACAUGGUGCCGAAGACAAGACUCAGACCAUUAUUACAGCAAUGAAAGAAAGAAUGAAGAUCAGGGAGAAAAACCGGCCAGAAGUAUUUGAAGUAAUCCAGGAAAUGUUUCAGAUUUCUAAAGAAGAUUUUGUGCAGUUUACAAAGGCGGCCAAACAGAGUGUACUGGAUGGGACAUCUAAGUGGUCUGCAAAAAUAACCAUUACAGUGGUUUCUGCACAGGGUCUACAGGCAAAAGAUAAAACAGGGUCUAGUGAUCCAUAUGUUACAGUUCAAGUUGGAAAGAACAAAAGAAGAACAAAAACCAUUUUUGGAAAUUUGAAUCCAGUAUGGGAUGAGAAGUUUUAUUUUGAGUGUCAUAACUCCACAGAUCGAAUCAAAGUCAGAGUAUGGGAUGAAGAUGAUGAUAUUAAAUCCAGAGUCAAGCAACAUUUCAAAAAGGAGUCAGAUGAUUUUCUGGGACAAACAAUUGUAGAAGUGAGGACCUUGAGUGGAGAAAUGGAUGUCUGGUACAACUUAGAGAAAAGGACAGAUAAGUCAGCUGUAUCUGGGGCCAUACGAUUGAAAAUCAAUGUGGAGAUAAAAGGAGAAGAGAAGGUUGCUCCAUAUCAUAUUCAAUAUACAUGUUUACAUGAGAAUCUGUUCCAUUACUUGACUGAAGUGAAAUCUAAUGGUGGAGUGAAAAUCCCAGAAGUCAAAGGGGAUGAAGCCUGGAAGGUUUUCUUUGAUGAUGCUUCCCAAGAAAUAGUUGAUGAGUUUGCUAUGCGUUAUGGAAUUGAAUCCAUUUAUCAAGCUAUGACGCACUUUUCAUGUCUGUCUUCUAAAUACAUGUGCCCCGGUGUCCCUGCCGUCAUGAGCACCUUGCUGGCUAAUAUAAAUGCUUUUUAUGCUCACACAACAGUUUCAACAAAUGUACAGGUUUCUGCCUCAGAUCGAUUUGCUGCUACCAACUUUGGUAGGGAAAAAUUCAUAAAACUACUGGACCAGUUACAUAACUCUUUGAGGAUUGAUCUGUCAAAGUAUAGGGAAAACUUUCCUGCAAGCAAUACUGAAAGACUGCAAGACCUGAAAUCAACUGUUGACCUGUUAACAAGUAUCACCUUUUUUAGGAUGAAGGUUCUGGAGCUGCAAAGCCCCCCAAAAGCGAGCAUGGUGGUGAAGGACUGUGUAAGAGCUUGCCUGGAUUCUACAUACAAGUAUAUUUUUGACAAUUGCCAUGAACUCUAUUCCCAACUAACGGACCCGAGUAAGAAACAGGAUAUUCCUCGUGAAGAUCAGGGACCAACCACCAAGAAUUUGGAUUUUUGGCCCCAACUUAUUACACUGAUGGUUACUAUUAUUGAUGAGGAUAAAACUGCCUACACACCUAUCCUGAAUCAGUUUCCUCAAGAGCUGAACAUGGGAAAAAUAAGUGCCGAAAUUAUGUGGACUCUUUUUGCUCUGGAUAUGAAAUAUGCAUUAGAAGUAAAAGUUUAUUCCUGCAUGAGGGAUUUUUUGGCCAGCUGCUCUGAUGCCUGGAUUUUUCUUCCCACCAAUCUUCAUAAGCAGCCAUGUAGGGCUCAGCUACCGACACCUCCUCAGAGAAGAUUUCCCUCACCACGUUAUCUGUAGUAGCUCCCAGGAAUAUUUUAAUCUGCUGCAUAA
rnacentral:sRNA from 1 species